CCCAGCUUGCUGGGUGGAUUAGUGGCGAACGGGUGAGUAACACGUGAGUAACCUGCCCCUGACUCUGGGAUAAGCGUUGGAAACGACGUCUAAUACUGGAUAUGACUACUGGUCGCAUGGCCUGGUGGUGGAAAGAUUUUUUGGUUGGGGAUGGACUCGCGGCCUAUCAGCUUGUUGGUGAGGUAAUGGCUCACCAAGGCGACGACGGGUAGCCGGCCUGAGAGGGUGACCGGCCACACUGGGACUGAGACACGGCCCAGACUCCUACGGGAGGCAGCAGUGGGGAAUAUUGCACAAUGGGCGAAAGCCUGAUGCAGCAACGCCGCGUGAGGGAUGACGGCCUUCGGGUUGUAAACCUCUUUUAGUAGGGAAGAAGCGAAAGUGACGGUACCUGCAGAAAAAGCACCGGCUAACUACGUGCCAGCAGCCGCGGUAAUACGUAGGGUGCAAGCGUUGUCCGGAAUUAUUGGGCGUAAAGAGCUCGUAGGCGGUUUGUCGCGUCUGCUGUGAAAUCCCGAGGCUCAACCUCGGGCUUGCAGUGGGUACGGGCAGACUAGAGUGCGGUAGGGGAGAUUGGAAUUCCUGGUGUAGCGGUGGAAUGCGCAGAUAUCAGGAGGAACACCGAUGGCGAAGGCAGAUCUCUGGGCCGUAACUGACGCUGAGGAGCGAAAGCGUGGGGAGCGAACAGGAUUAGAUACCCUGGUAGUCCACGCCGUAAACGUUGGGCGCUAGAUGUAG
rnacentral:rRNA from 1 species